rnacentral:rRNA from 1 species
AUGAAACUGUAUAAUUUGAAAAAAACUUUCUCGGGAGAAAUUGCAACAACACUAGUUUAUCACAUACUACAAGAUCAUACAUACUACGUUCUUCUACUACUACUAGAGGGGGGUGGGGGAUCUCGCGGCGGCGAGGCCGAGGUCGACGUACCAAAAUGGAGGAGCUCGCGACCGAGGAUGACGCCAUGGAGGAGCUCAGUCCUCCUUGUUGGAGCUGACGAGAUCGAUGAACUUCUGCCUCUGCUCCUCGCGGAUGCGCCGCCACUGUCGUCCUUGUCCUUCGCGGCAAGGUUCGCCACGACCGCCUACUUGAGCAAGAGGUCUUCGAUCUCCUCGUCGUGGCGCCGGCGCUCCGCCUCAUCGCACAAGUUCCGUUCGGCAAUGACGGCUGCGACCGCGUCGACACCGGCCAUGAAAUCUUCAGGCCUGACGACCCCUCGGCGCUCGAUCUCAUCCGGCUCCUGCUUUACGGCGACAAGCUCGCGGUCCUCCGGCUCCUCAGAUCACUCCCUCUUUACGGGGAGAAGCGCCUCCUCAGAACAGGAAGAGCUCACGACGUGGGAAGAGCCCGCGGCCGAGGAGGGCGUAUGCCCGUGCCGACGGUCCUCCUCUUCUGUCUCGCGACGGAGGAGCCUCGACGUCGACUCAAGGCCCUUAUUCGUCCACUUCCUCGCCGCGCGCUUCCUCGUGCCGUCAGAGCGGACACGCCGCUCGCGCUCGGGGUCGCCACCACCGCCAGAGCUGCCACCGCAGCUGCGGCUGGAGUUUCACAUGCGGCCCCACAUGGCGGCUGGAGGCGGAAGGGGGCUCACCUGCAGCGAGAAAUGUGAGGGGGGGGGAGGGGGGAUUGCGGCGAAACGUGGCGACAUGGGAAUAGGGUUUCGACCCGUACCGCAAACUCGUAGAUAUACUGCUUCGGGGGGAGGGAGCGGUUUGCUGGCCGCGGUAAAAAAAAUUUACAGGCCGGGCCAGUAUACGGGCUCUGUUCUGGUCAGAAAAUUGGGCCGAGCCCGUAUACUCGCCGGAAUUAUGCGGGUUCGCGAGAUAUACGGGGUCUGCUAG